rnacentral:rRNA from 1 species
UACAGAGGUCCCAAGCGUUGUUCGGAAUUACUGGGCGUAAAGCGAGUGUAGGUGGUUGUCCAAGUUGGAUGUGAAAGCCUUGAGCUUAACUCAAGAAAUGCAUUCAGGACUGGGCGGCUAGAGGACCGGAGAGGAUAGUGGAAUUCCCAGUGUAGUGGUGAAAUACGUAGAGAUUGGGAAGAACACCAGUGGCGAAGGCGGCUAUCUGGACGGUUUCUGACACUAAGACUCGAAAGCGUGGGGAGCAAACAGG